rnacentral:lncRNA from 1 species
CAAAGCUGCAAAAGACAUGGAGCCGGUCUAAAAACAGUGUACAUAGAACACUAAGACUCUUGAAUCUUCAGAAAAGAAUAUUCAAGAUUUGAAAGCGGAGAACAGUUUACUGGAUAGUAAUCACAAAGGACAUGUUGACAAGAAUGCUCAGCUGCAGACUUCUGUGACGAUGAAUCAGCUGGCUGUAUACUCCAUUCCCACAAUAGAAAUCACUGCACUGGAGAUCACAUAACACACAAAAAAUGUACAGAGACCUUCCAAGUGUCACUAUAACUAAGUUUCUACAGAGUCUUUGGAUGCUGAUCUAAAGUGAGUGGAAAAAGUUUGCUACUGAUGUUGACUCUUCCACUUUAAAGAAUUAAAGUACUAUGUAUUAUGCAUUUUUGAUAUAAUUCUAAUAAUAGAAAAGCUUGUUUAUUUUUCCUAUUAGUGGAAAGCUUCUUGUUCCCAUCAUUUUGUUUACAUGACAGUUUAAAGAUAAACUUAAUACAAUUUAUUCUGUAAUUACUUUCUUUCAAAGGAAGAAGGUGAGCUAUU